AUGGCCUUCGCGUCGUGGCUAGUGGCGCCGCCUCCUGCCGCGAGGGCAGGGUGGAGGCCCGCGAGGGCGGCCCCUCGCCGGCUCGUCCUGGCGGCAUCCAGCCGAGGCGGCGGCCCGGCCCCGGCCCCGCCGACGUUCGACAGGCUGCGGGAGCAGCUCCUCCAACUCCACGCCGAAGCCGACCUCACCCAGUCCAAAGCAAACAGUGCUCGGGUGAGGCUUAUGCGGUUGACCGAGGCCGCUGAGAAUCUUAAGAAGAGAGCCGUAGUCAGUGUCCGGAUGGGCAGAGAGAAUGAGGCAGUGGAAUUACUUGUGCAGAAGAAGAAGUUGACCAAUGCUUUGGAGAACAUAAAGGAGCGCAUUGAGCUGCUUGACAAGCUUUCCGCAAAGAUUAGUGAGGUUAUUUCGGUGAAGCAGAAUAUGUUAAUUGAACACGCGUUGCGUCCAGGGAUGGCUACUGUUGAAGACUCCAAUGACCAUAUAAGAGUGUUCUCCGGUAAAAUUGAUGAUCGGGUGGAUGAGACUAGUGAUUCAAACGUGGCUGGCCAAUCCAAGGGAAGUGAACUUCAGAUGGCUGAUAGCUUCACAUUCUCCAAGGAUCAUGACCCAACAAACAUCAUGGAUGAUCAUUCUGCAUAUGAUGAUUUUGUGCAGCAUAUUGAUUCACAGCUGAGUUCAUUACAAUGUGAAAUUGAUCACUACGCCAGUUCCCAAUUAGCAAAAGAGUUGGACACUCAGCAGUCUGUAAAUGACAAGUUGCACAAAUUGUCAACCAUAUUGAAGCUUAUAACUGAAACUAGAGAAAGGAUUGCUAACAUUUCGGAUAACACAGUAAGUGAGAGUGGAUCUGAUGGCUUGAGAUGA
rnacentral:rRNA from 1 species